GGUGGCUCAGCAGUAGAGUGCAUGCCUUGCAAGCAUGAGGCCCUGGGUUUGAUUCCUCAGCACCA
rnacentral:tRNA from 1 species